UAUGAAACCUAGAAAAUUUUCUAAGUCUUUUACAAGCUUGAGACGCCGAUUUCGAAAUCUCAUAACUUCUUCGUUAUAACUUGGAACGAGGUCGUUCCAAAGCCAUUUUCUUCCUUAUCUUACGUACUUCGAUUACCCUUGGACAGAACUUUGUUCUGAAUCCGUUAACAUGCCAUUCAAUUGGCUUAAUCUUCAUUCUUCGUUCAUUUUAACAUUUUUAACGUUCUUUGUUCGUUCGUUCGUAAUUCGGUCAUCCGAACUCGGAAUUCAUUCGUUCUUGAGUCCACGACUCACGUUUUAUACGUUCUCUUACAUUCUUAUGAAACCCUGUACGUUCGGGUUCAUUUACUAACUUUCAAAUUUUUGUUCUUCUUUUACAAAAAUUUUGCCAUAACUUCGUUAUAGCUUAGUUUUAAUCCGUCCUUCAUGAACGUUUCUACCGUUCCUAACCAAGCAAUAAGCAACUAACUUAUACGCGAUGGUUUUAAACUUGUC
rnacentral:lncRNA from 1 species